GUUCUGUCAUCAUAAACUGAAUCCAUAGGUUUAUGAAGCGAGACGCAGUGAAGUGAAACAUCUCAGUAACUGCAGGAAAAGAAAUCAAAAGACAUUCCGCAAGUAGUGGCGAACGAACGCGGAGGAGCCCAAACCAGGCGGCUUGCCGUCUGGGGUUGCGGGACCCCGAUGUGAUAUCAUGGAAGUUAGUUGAACGAUCUGGAAAGUUCGUCCAAAGAGGGUGACAGGCCCGUAAACGACAACUGAAGUGAGUCUAGGGGUAUCCCAAGUAGGUCGGCACACGUGAAACUCCGACUGAAUCCGGGGAGACCACUCUCCAAGGCUAAAUACUAACCGGUGACCGAUAGUGAACAAGUACCGCGAGGGAAAGGUGAAAAAGUACCCCUGUUAGGGGAGUGAAAAGUAUCUGAAAUCAUGCGCUUACAAAGUGUGGGAGCCCUUCGGGGUGACCGCAUGCCUUUUGCAUAAUGAGCUUGCGACUUACUUUAUGUAGCGAGGUUAAGCCAGUGGCGAAGCCGAAGCGAAAGCGAGUGCGAAUAGCGCGUCUAGUUGCAUGAAGUAGACCCGAAACUGAGUGAUCUAUCCAUGGUCAGGCUGAAUCUCCGGUAACACGGAGUGGAGGGCCGAACCGGUAAGUGUUGAAAAACUUUCGGAUGAACUGUGGAUAGGAGCGAAAGACCAAUCAAACUCAGUGAUAGCUGGUUCUCUUCGAAAUAUCUUGAGGGAUAGCCUUGCGUUUAAUUAGUGCGUGGGGGUAGAGCUCUGAUUGUUAGAGGGUCCCGACAGGGAUACCAAAAACUGUCAAACUCCAAAUACCACGAUACUGUAUCGCAGGAGUCAGACUGUGGGGGAUAAGCUUCAUAGUCGAGAGGGCAUCAGCCCAGACCGUCAGCUAAGGUCCCUAAUUUAAGCUAAGUGGAUUGAAGGAUGUGGAGUUACGUAAACAACCAGGAUGUUGGCUUAGAGGCAGCCAUCAUUUAAAGAACGCGUAAUAGCGCACUGGUCGAGCGAUUCCGCGCCGAAGAUGAUCGGGACUAAGCUUAAAACCGAAGCUGCGGAUUCUAAGUUUACUUAGAAUGGUAGAAGAGCGUUGUAUGUGGAUCGAAGCCGAUAUGAAAAUGGAGGUGGACUUCAUACAAGUGACCAUGCAAGCAUGAGUAGCGAAAAACCGGAUGAGAAUUCCGGUCACCGAAAGACUAAGGUUUCCUGGGCAAGGUUCGUCCUCUCAGGGUUAGUCGGAACCUAAGGCGAGGCGGAAACGCGUAGUCGAUGGACAAUUGGUUAAUAUUCCAAUACCACCUUAUCGGAGUGAUGGAAGGACGCAGUUGCUAAUGUGAUUCUGGCUAUAUGCCAGUCGAAGAUCAUGGGACGCCGGGGGUUAAAUGACCCGGCAUCAGUCUGAAGAUUGACAGGCGGUGGAUCCUUCGGGUGAAUCCGUUUCACUGAUGCUAUACUGACGAGAAAAGCUCCUAAACGUUGAUGAUAGGGUGUCCGUACCGCAAACCGACACAGGUAGUCGAGGCGAAAAGCCUAAGGUGCGCGAGUGAAACCACUUCAAGGAACUCGGCAAAUUGGCCCCGUAACUUAGGGAGAAGGGGUGCCCGACGGGUGAAAGCCCGGAGGGUUUCAACAAAGAGGCCGCGGCGACUGUUUAACAAAAACACAGCUCUCUGCUAACUCGCAAGAGGAUGUAUAGGGAGUGACACGUGACCAAUGCCGAAAGGUCAAAUGGAUCCGUCAGCAGCAAUGCGAAGCGGUGAUAUGAAGCCCCGGUGAAUGUCGGCCGUAACUAUAACGGUCCUAAGGUAGCGAAAUUCCUUGUCGGGUAAGUUCCGACC
rnacentral:rRNA from 1 species